AUUGAACGCUGGCGGCAGGCCUAACACAUGCAAGUCGGACGGUAGCACAGAGAGCUUGCUCUCGGGUGACGAGUGGCGGACGGGUGAGUAAUGUCUGGGGAUCUGCCCGAUAGAGGGGGAUAACCACUGGAAACGGUGGCUAAUACCGCAUAACGUCGCAAGACCAAAGAGGGGGACCUUCGGGCCUCUCACUAUCGGAUGAACCCAGAUGGGAUUGGCUAGAAGGCGGGGUAACGGCCCACCUAGGCGACGAUCCCUAGCUGGUCUGAGAGGAUGACCAACCACAGUGGAACUGAGACACGGUCCAGACUCCUACGGGAGGCAGCAGUGGGGAAUAUUGCACGAUGGGCGCAAGCCUGAUGCAGCCAUGCCGCGUGUAUGAAGAAGGCCUUCGGGUUGUAAAGUACUUUCAGCGGGGAGGAAGGCGAUGUGGUUAAUAACCGCGUCGAUUGACGUUACCCGCAGAAGAAGCACCGGCUAACUCCGUGCCAGCCGCCGCAGUAA
rnacentral:rRNA from 1 species